UUCAAAUUGCCAUGGAUAAAAUGCACUUGAGUUCUCUGCCCAUAGGAUAUACCUGCCCAUACCAACACCGCACCACCACCACGGGCCACUCUGUUCACAACGUUGACAUCAGCAAACCGCUCACCCACCCAACGCCAUACAUGAUGCUGCCUGCCAUCUUCCCUGUACAGCUGAAACCGUGAUUCAUCAGUGAAGAGGACCGUUCUCCAGCAUGCCAGUGGCCAUCGAAGCUUGUCCCUGUGGCUGCCUCAGAUGAUCCCGCAGGUAAAGAAGUCGGAUGUGGCGGUCCUGGGCUGGCGUGGUUACACGUGGUCUGCGGUUGUGAGGCCUGUUGGACGAACUUCCAAAAUCUCUGAAACGACGCUGGAGGUGGCUUAUAGUGGAGAAAUGAACACCCAUUACUCUGGCAACAGCUCUACAGGACAUUGCUGCAGUAUCCAUGCCAAUUGCAUGAUCUCUUAACUCCUGAGGCAUCUGUGACAUGGUGUUGAACAACAAAAAAACUCAACAUUUUAGGGUGGCCAUCAUAUGGAACACCUGUGUAGUGAUCAUGGCUUUUAAUCAGAAUCUUGAUAUGCCACACCUGUGCAGAAGAUGGAUUAUCCUGACACAGGAGAAAUGCUGGCUAACAGUGAUGUAAACAAAUCCGUGGGCAAAAUCUGAGAGAAAUAAAAUCUUUGUGCACAUAAAACAAAUCUUUGAGCAAUUAUUUAAAUGCAUAAAAAAUGGCUGCAAAAAUAAAAGUGUUGCGUUUAUAUUUUUGUUCAGUAUAAAUUU